rnacentral:lncRNA from 1 species
CCCUGUACAACUUUUGUGCAAUUAUUUGACCCGCCGUGGCAAUUCUCCUGGGCCAAUUUUCAUGACUCCUGUGGGGGCGACGGUGCCGUGUUUAUUUCCUCUCUCAAUCAAUGCUUAAAAUUUUGCAACCUCAAUCCUACGGUUUAUAAAUCUCACAGUUUCCGAAUUGGCGCAGCAUCAUUCGCAGCUGAGCAGGGCUUGUCUGAUGCGCAGAUUCGCGUCUUGGGUCGUUGGAAGUCCAAUGCAUUUCACAAAUACAUUCGAGUUUCAACCCUUGCAGCAUCAUAAAUUAUAGAUAUUUCACCCUCCCCCGGACAACAAUGCGGGGAGUUGUCUGGGGGAGGCUUUAAGGGUGGCAGGGCGAUGUUGUCAUACAGGGGCUGACAGUACCUUUCUGCCACGUUUUUCUUAGGUUUGCCAAAUUAUUAUCUGGUUGUGCAACUCGCUUUGUGCUAUACACUUAAGGCUUGUUUCAGCAGUUAGCAAGGGCAGCUGCCAUUUUUUCGUUAUACUCAGUUUAAUAAUGACAAGACAGUUAGCAGGGGCUACUGCUACCACGUUGUAAAACAUGUUUCAGACAGCUUGCAAGGGCGGCUGAUCAACGACUUCGCUAGGUAUACAUUUAUACCAGUUUCCAUAUAUCGAGUAUGCUAGUUUUGGAGCAGUCUGCAAGGGCGACUGCCUUCAAUUUUCAUAAUUUUUGAGGUUUAUAUCUCGCGACGUUCUUUCAGAAUUUUCUAAUAUGUAAAAUAAUACGUGUAUGGUUGAGGCCAUGUAGCGUUGCAUUUUCUCGGGUGGGGAGACUUUUGAUUCGUCCCUCGGUGCUUAGGGCGAAUUGCAAAGCCUUUGGCGUAUAUUCCUGCCACCUUUACUGGCUAUAGAACACUUAUAUAAUCAAUCUAGACUUCAGUA